GCUGGUGUUGGCUCUUCUCUUCUCUUCUCUUCUCUUCUCUUCUCUUCUCUUCUCUUCUCUUCUCUUCUCUUCUCUUCUCUUCUCUCUCUCUCUCUCUCUCUCUCUCUCUGUCUCUCUCUCUUUCCUUUUGACUUUUGUCCGUUCUUCCGUUCUCUUUUUUCUAAAUAAAAUGAAGUUGAUUGUCCUACCUUGAGAAAGCCACCCUCCCUGGAACAGCUGAACUCUUCUUACUGUCUCAUGCACAUUCUCAUUGUCUUGUAAUUACUUAUUGGUGGAACAGUUGUAAGUGAAGAAUAUUUAAAAUUCACUGGAUUUGGGGAAACAAUAAUUUAAGUUGACAUGCUUAGUAGCCCAACAGUAGGAUGAAAUAACUCACUUGUAGCAAGAAAAAAAAAAGGCCAGUGGAUGACUGCCGAGCAGCAGGCGCCCUGGUUAGAUCCUUGGACCUAUAACACAGGUGACUUUACAGAUCCAGGGUGUUAAUCAAGAUAAACAGAAGUAAAGGUUGCAGAAAGCUAGCUUAAUUAACACAGUUGUAUAGGUUACUUUUUAAAUUAUAGGUGUUCUUCCAGGGACUUAAUGACAUUUUUAGUGAUGAUGGGUAUUUAUAUGUGGUGAUUCUGACCUUCCCUCAAUAGGUCCAUAUAUCUUUUGUAACUAUAAAAUCGAUUUAGCAUAGUCCUUUUGUUUGUUGUUUGUUUGUUUAGAUAGCUUUUAAACAAGUGACUCUGAUUGUUAGAGCAGGUCCAGUGAGAGCCGGGUACAGAGACAAAUGACGUUUCUCCUGCCAGCUGGCACAGUUGCCUUCACUGUUAGCACUUCCGCCAAGUGGGGUCCACUUGUUCAACCCAAGGAGCCCACGUCGAUGUAUCCUUAUCACUCUAACAGUUGAUACGAGGCGCCACUUUUGGUGUAGUAUAGUUUAUGGCUUUGGACGGAUGACAGUUGACCUGGACUGCCUUUACAGUAACCUGAACUAUGGUUAUAGUCUCCUUUAGAGUGUCCUCACUGCCAAACUGCUCUGUGCUGUCUACUCACCAAAGCUCACCAUCACCGAUGCCUUCUGUGCGGAUAGGCUCCUGAGCAUGGCUGCUUGGCAAGCUGUAGAGAAAGUUGCUCUAAACUUCGAGGGAAAUGUUCUCUCAUGGAUACAGGAUUUCCAUCUACAUUGGGUAAAAUGGGAGCCUGACUGUAAGACCAGGUGGGAAGAUUAUGCUUUCAUUUGUAAACACUGCUCCACUGUCUUCUCCAUUUGCUCUUCCAUUGUGUGUUCCCACACAUGAGUGGGAGUUCCCAUUUUCCCACAUCUCUCCAGCAUUUGGUGGUGUCCUUGUCCUGGGUUUUGGAUAUUCUUGGCUGUAUUAUAUAGUAGUAUUUCACUAGUUUUGUUUGUUUGGACACCACCCCUCCCCCCCAACCAAAAAAAAAGUGCUAUUGUCUGAAAUAGGUCUGGGUUUCAAAGAAAGAGACUACCACUCCAAAUGAAGUAUCUUGACAUGGGAGGACUUUACUCUUUAUAAAAAGGGUGCACUGUUCACCAGUGCAAAGGAGCAAAGCACUGUGGGUGAGGACUUCCAUUCAGUUUUUAUUUAAAUGUGGGCAGUGACUAUGUCUUUUCCCCAUUGGCUGGUAGGGGUUUGGGAUUGACUCACUUUUAAAAAAUUGGUUCAAAGGAAGUGAAGAAGCAAGAGGCCAGGAGCUUUAACCCCAGAAUGUAGCAGCCUUCAUUUUCAUGUAGACAGAGGUUUUAGUGUGUUGGAGAAUUAAAACAUUUGCUUAAAAGUCAGACAUGUUGGAGGAGAUAAAAAGAUUUCAGUUCCUCACCCUAAACACAAGGGUGUUUUUUGUUUGUUUUCUGAGACAGGAUCUUUCUGUGUAGUCCUGGCUUUUCUAGAACUCUUUAUAUAGAUCAAACUGGCCUCAAACUCACAGAGAUAUGCUUGCUUCUAUUCCAGAGUGAUGGAAUUAAAGGUGAGAACCGCCAUGCUUGGCUCUGAGGAAAACUUCUGUGGUAUUAGAAAAACACAUUUAUUUAGUGUUUCUUACAUUAUUAAUAAUGAUUUCUUUAUUUUUAUUUUAUGUGCAUUGAUGUUUUGCCUACAUGUGCUGUCUGUGCAAAGUUGUUAGAUGCUCUGGAACGGUAAAUAUAGGCAGUUGUGAGCUGCCAUGUGCGGACUGGGAAUUGAACCCAGGUCCUCUGGAAGAAUAGCCAGGACCCUGAACUGCCGAGCCAUCUCUCCAGCCCCCACUAUU
rnacentral:lncRNA from 1 species